rnacentral:rRNA from 1 species
AUUGAACGCUGGCGGCAGGCCUAACACAUGCAAGUCGAACGAGUGGCGGACGGGUGAGUAAUGUCUGGGAAACUGCCUGAGGGAGGGGGAUAACUACAGGAAACGGUAGCUAAUACCGCAUAACAUCAGAUGUGCCCAGAUGGGAUUAGCUUGUUGGUGGGGUAACGGCUCACCAAGACGACGAUCCCUAGCUGGUCUGAGAGGAGGACCAGCCACCAUGGAACUGCGCCACGGUCCAGACUCCUACGGUAGGUAGCAGUGGGGAAUAUUGCACAAUGGGCGCAAGCCUUAUGCAGCCAUGCCGCGUGUAUGAAGAAGGCCUUCGGGUUGUAAAGUCCUUUCAUCGGGGAGGCGUUACCCGCAGAAGAAGCACCGGCUAACUCCGUGCCAGCCGCCGCGGUAAUAC